rnacentral:ncRNA from 1 species
GUCAAAUCGUUGAAAAAGAAAAGUAUUUAUACUUUCCUUUCUAGAGAGGAAAUGGUUGGUGAAAAUUUCCAGGGAAAUAUAAAGAAAGCUACUUUUGAGAGUGAUGUAAACAUCAACGCAUGGUCAGCGUUAUCGACUUAGAGAGCAUAGUCAUAUGAUUAUGAAUAAGGAUGGUACCGCGAUAUCAGUCGUUCCUUUU